AACCACCAACCCUACACAUGUCAAAGUGAUCCUAGUUACUGAUUUUUUUAUUUUUAUCCACAGAUGCUUGUCAUGAUGUGUAUGAAAAGAAGUUAAGUUGGAACAAGGAGGAAAAAGAAGUAUUUUGGGUUUUCAUGAGAAAAAUAAAUAUUAUAGAGUUAAAUCUAUAUUGUGCAGUAAUUGCAACACUUGAUAUAGCUGUUAGGAAUAAUGAAUCAUGACAAAGAUGCACCAGGCAGUGGAUGAAAAGAGUGAAUAACAAACAACCUUGUGACAACAUGUGUACAUGAAUUAUGGCUGCUCUGUUUCAGGAGAACAGGAUUUGGAGCACUACCUGCAAGUGCUCUCAGAGGCCGCUUGAAGAAAGAAGAAAGGAUUGGGGUAAAGAUUUUCAUGGAGAUUUUUAUUUUCACAUGAUCAAUCGUCCAACUGAAGCAAUGCAUGGUACAGAGGUGUGGGAAACAUGGCAUGCAACCUUACAUAGACUAAGAUAAGUUUCCAUAUUUGUUAAAUUUGUUAAGCUUGUUAUGUUUGUUAAUUUUUUACAAAUACACUCAAUUUUAAAAAUUAUUGGUUUGUAAAUAAUUUUUAAUCAGAAAUCAGAAUAUGGAAUCAGACUGAAUCUUUUGAAAAACAUUAUCUGUUGUAACCAGCACGUUCAACUGCAGUCAUAAUUCAUGUCAUUCAACUGCUGCAACUUAUUCUUCUAGUUUUUCUAGCAUAUGGAUUUAACCCCUAUGCGUAAGUUUUCACAAUCAGUCAAGGUUAAAUUCAUCUUUGAUGUAAAACAGUUUUUUCAAUGAAGUGUUAAAAUUUGCUAGAUCUUUAAUGUGAUUAAUUAUGAAAUCUGAAGUUUUGAUAAUUUUUUCAUCAUCAGCACUGAUCUAAAAGUAGGGUUUUUUUAAGUCUCCAUCUCUGAAUACUUUGGCCUUACAUUUUCUUUUGAAAUAUUUCAUUUAAUGCACACAAUGUCUUGAAGGCUGCUGUCUUAUUCUCUACAUGGCUGAAGAAUUUUCAGGUUUGCUGAACUUAAAAUCAAACUUGUGCUGUACCAUGACACUGAUUUAUCUUAUUUUGUCUGGCUUGGCAUCUCACAUCAGAUCUGUACUUUAGGAAAAGAGACACAUAACACAACUUAAAGUUUGCUUCAAUCAAAGUAUGAAUUUCUGCAGUGAUGGCUUUGGAACACUUCUAGUUACUCUGUUUUUAUUUCAGUACUUUGAUAAAUAGUGCCAUAACUCUUCCUUCUUUUACUUCAUCUGAAUUUGUGCAUCAAAAAUGAUCUCAAAUGAUAAGGUCUCUCAGGCAGAUAAACCCAGCCCUUCCAAUCUAGGAAUAAAAAUCUUUUUUGCCUUUUAAGGUUUGUUUUU
rnacentral:lncRNA from 1 species